UACGUAGGGUGCGAGCGUUAAUCGGAAUUACUGGGCGUAAAGCGUGCGCAGGCGGUCGUUUAAGCCAGAUGUGAAAUCCCCGGGCUUAACCUGGGAACUGCAUUUGGGACUGGACGGCUCGAGUUUGGCAGAGGGAGGUGGAAUUCCACGUGUAGCAGUGAAAUGCGUAGAUAUGUGGAGGAACACCGAUGGCGAAGGCAGCCUCCUGGGCCAUGACUGACGCUCAUGCACGAAAGCGUGGGGAGCAAACAGG
rnacentral:rRNA from 1 species